UACGGAGGGGGCUAGCGUUGUUCGGAAUUACUGGGCGUAAAGCGCACGUAGGCGGCUUUGUAAGUUAGAGGUGAAAGCCCGGGGCUCAACCCCGGAAUUGCCUUUAAGACUGCAUCGCUUGAACGUCGGAGAGGUGAGUGGAAUUCCGAGUGUAGAGGUGAAAUUCGUAGAUAUUCGGAAGAACACCAGUGGCGAAGGCGGCUCACUGGACGACUGUUGACGCUGAGGUGCGAAAGCGCGGGGAGCAAACAGG
rnacentral:rRNA from 1 species